rnacentral:lncRNA from 1 species
GUGUGUGUGUGUGUCUGUGUCUGUGUUGUAUAGCUAUAAUAAAAAUAAUGGUAAAUACUAAGAGUUUUUACUUGUCUUCAGUGCUGUUCUAAGGCUUUUCAGGUUUUUUAGUCUACAUGUUAAUUAGUUAUUUAUCCUCAUGGGAAUCCUAUUAGGUAAGAAAUAUUAUUAUCCACAUAUAAGUAGGUUUGCUAGGUUUAGUAAAUAAAAAUUAGGAUGCCCAGUUAAAUUUAAAUUUCUGAUAAACAAUAAUUAUUGCCACAUACAUAUGCCAAAAAGAGACGAACUACUUACCUGAAAUUUGAAUUUAAAUGGGUGUCCUAUAUUUUAUCUGGCAACCCUACAUUUAAUAGAUGGGGAAGCUGAAACUCAGAGAUGAUGGGGAGGGAGCAUGCAAACUUCACUGGAAGAAGAGAAAGAAAAAAACUACAGAACUGUCAUUCCUGCACAUUCUCUGUGCUUCUUUGUAGAAGACAGGGGACUGGAACCAUGGGUUUUGGAGAUCCCAUCCUCACUAUGUGGUCACAGUCCUCACCAUUGUUCUUUCUUUGGGAAGCCAAUUGGAGUCGUUCAUCUAUUAAUUCGAAUAUCAGUAGAAUGCUUAGUCAUGCCCCAACAUUGGCACUGCACCAUGAACCUCAAGAUAGAUGCAGCUCCUGCCCUGAUUCAGUGGACAGGUUAAUGGAGAAGACACAGGUUAAAUGAGUGAACAGUGCAGAGUGAGGGCAGUUGUUUAUGGAGGGAACUGGGUGCAGCAGGGGCAUGCCGGCCUUCUCGCCUGGCUGGUGGCUAGGGUAGUGAUUCUCCAGGCAGCAUCCCCAAACCAGCAACAGUGGCACCACCUGUAAGCUUGCUGGAAAUGCAGUUAUCUAAGCCCCCUUCAUGACCUCCUGAUCAAAAACUCUGGGGUAGGUCUAAUAAUUCGUGUUUUAAUAAGGCUUCCAGGUGAUUUAAAUUCAUAGAUGUGGAGACUGGCUGCUAGGGGAGGAGAGAUGCUCAGAGCAUCCUCCACUGUGAGGAUGGGGUGCCAUCCCUUCAAAACCAGGUGAGGAGGGCAAGGCUCCUGGCUCCUUGCUUAUUCCAGGAAAACAAGACUAACUAGACAGACACAGUGAAUUAAAUAUCCUAUUUUGAGUUUUUCUUUCCUUUUCUUUCCUUU